rnacentral:rRNA from 1 species
UUCCGCGUCAACUUGUGAACUGCAGGACCCAUGAACAUCGACAUUUCGAACGCACAUUGCGGUCCUCGGAUACUCGUUCCCGGACCACUCCUGGCUGAGGGUCGUAUCAAUUUCAAAGACUGCUCGGUUUUCCUAGAAAACGUCGGAGCGUGUUGAAUGUUACUGCGUAAUGUUCUGUCUUAAAAAACAGAAUGUUAAGCGACAUUUUAAAAUGCGAAAGCGUCUUACACUAUCCUUGCUUGUUUAAAAACGUGCGGAUGUGUAAGUGUUUUGCACGAACACACGCAUAUAACGCGCAAAACGCGUAUUUUGAGAGUGUGCGUAAAUUCUCGUUCGUAUCGAAAGUAUAAUUUAUUUUUGGUACGCACAACGAGCAAGAUUGUGUUUCACCACACGCAUCAUUGUAGUAUGCACUCUAAAAUUAUGCGAAAGCGCGGUCGUCGUGUCCGAGAAAAUUUUUCAAAGACGACGUCUGAUCUGUGCUGCAUAAAUGUUUUAGAUAUUGUUUGCAUCGAAUGUGUGUGUG